GACUGAGUUAUAAAAAUGAUAAGACUGAGAUAUAUUAGCUAAAUUCAAAUACUUAAUAACUUAAUUCAAAUACAAAAUAACAAACACAUGUUCAAUUGAACAGCAAAUUGUUCAUCGUAUUAUUUCCUCCUUCAUCGAGGAUCUCUGCUGCCAUCUUCACCCUUAAACCUUGAAUAUUGUUAUCGUUUAUCCCAUCAAAAGUUACACCAAGCGCUAGACACUCCACAAACUUCAUCGAAUACACCCCACAAUCUGAAUGCGAACUUCUUCUUACUAGGGGCUCGGAGAUUGGCAGGAAUAAGUUCACUCAACAUC
rnacentral:lncRNA from 1 species